rnacentral:rRNA from 1 species
UUCGGAGAGUUUGAUCCUGGCUCAGGACGAACGCUGGCGGCGCGCUUAACACAUGCAAGUCGAACGGAAUUAACUUCGAAGUAAUUCUUGGUUAGUUUAGUGGCGAACGGGUGAGUAAUGCGUGAGCAACCUGCCCAUUAGUGGGGGAUAACUGUCGGAAACGGUAGCUAAUACCGCAUAAUUCAAAUUUUUCGCAUGAAGUUUUUGAGAAAGGAGUAAUUCGCUGAUGGAUGGGCUCACGUCUGAUUAGCCUGUUGGUGAGGUAAAGGCUUACCAAAGCUAUGAUCAGUAGCCGGACUGAGAGGUUCAACGGCCACAUUGGGACUGAGAUACGGCCCAGACUCCUACGGGAGGCAGCAGUGGGGGAUAUUGCGCAAUGGAGGAAACUCUGAUGCAGCGACGCCGCGUGAGGGAAGAAGGUUUUCGGAUUGUAAACCUCUGUUAUUAGGGAAGAAAAAAAUGACGGUACCUAAUGAGUAAGCCCCGGCUAACUACGUGCCAGCAGCCGCGGUAAUACGUAGGGGGCGAGCGUUGUUCGGAAUUAUUGGGUGUAAAGGGCGUGUAGGCGGCUUUUUGAGUCAAGUGUGAAAUCCCAAAGCUUAACUUUGGAAUUGCAUUUGAGACCGAUUAGCUUGAGUAAAGUAGAGGCGAACGGAAUUUCCGGUGUAGCGGUGAAAUGCAUAGAUAUCGGAAGGAACACCAGUGGCGAAGGCGGUUCGCUGGGCUUUUACUGACGCUGAGGCGCGAAAGCAUGGGGAGCAAACAGGAUUAGAUACCCUGGUAGUCCAUGCUGUAAACGAUGCUUACUAGGUGUGGGGGAUCUGACAUCUUCCGUGCCGCAGUUAACACAAUAAGUAAGCCACCUGGGGAGUAUGGCCGCAAGGUUAAAACUCAAAGGAAUUGACGGGGACCCGCACAAGCAGUGGAGUAUGUGGUUUAAUUCGACGAUACGCGAGAAACCUUACCAGGUCUUGACAGCCAACUAACGAAGCGGAAACGUGUUAGGUGCCCUUUCGGGGGAAAGUUGGUACAGGUGGUGCAUGGUUGUCGUCAGCUCGUGUCGUGAGAUGUUGGGUUAAGUCCCGCAACGAGCGCAACCCUCGCCAUCAGUUGCUACGCAAGAGAACUCUGAUGGGACUGCCGUUGAUAAAACGGAGGAAGGUGGGGAUGAUGUCAAAUCCUCAUGCCCUUUAUGAUCUGGGCUACACACGUACUACAAUGGCCAUUACAAUGGGUUGCCAAAUCGCAAGAUGGAGCUAAUCCCUCAAAGAUGGCCUCAGUUCGGAUUGCAGUCUGAAAUUCGACUGCAUGAAGUCGGAAUUGCUAGUAAUCGCGGAUCAUCAUGCCGCGGUGAAUACGUUCUCGGGUCUUGUACACACCGCCCGUCACACCAUGGGAGUCGGUAGUACCCAAAACCGUUAGCUUAACCGCAAGGAGAGCGGCGUCUAAGGUAGGAUUGGCGACUGGGGUGAAGUCGUAACAAGGUAGCCGUAUCGGAAGGUGCGGCUGGAUCACCUCCUU